UAGAACGACGCCAACGAUAUU
rnacentral:piRNA from 1 species